rnacentral:rRNA from 1 species
CUACGGGGCGCAGCAGUGGGGAAUAUUGGACAAUGGGGGCAACCCUGAUCCAGCCAUGCCGCGUGUGUGAAGAAGGCCUUUUGGUUGUAAAGCACUUUAAGCAGGGAGGAGAGGCUAAUGGUUAAUACCCAUUAGAUUAGACGUUACCUGCAGAAUAAGCACCGGCUAACUCUGUGCCAGCAGCCGCGGUAAUACAGAGGGUGCGAGCGUUAAUCGGAAUUACUGGGCGUAAAGUGAGUGUAGGUGGCUCAUUAAGUCACAUGUGAAAUCCCCGGGCUUAACCUGGGAACUGCAUGUGAUACUGGUGGUGCUAGAAUAUGUGAGAGGGAAGUAGAAUUCCAGGUGUAGCGGUGAAAUGCGUAGAGAUCUGGAGGAAUACCGAUGGCGAAGGCAGCUUCCUGGCAUAAUAUUGACACUGAGAUUCGAAAGCGUGGGUAGCAAACAGGAUUAGAUACCCGAGUAGUC